rnacentral:tRNA from 1 species
GGAGAGGUGGCUGAGCGGUCGAAGGCGCUCGCCUGGAGAGCGAGUGGGCGGUUGAUCCCGCCCCGGGGGUUCAAAUCCCUCCCUCUCCG